UGGUGGUAUUGUGGUAGACCUUUAUU
rnacentral:piRNA from 1 species